AAGUCGUAACAAGGUUUCCGUAGGUGAACCUGCGGAAGGAUCAUUAAAGAGUAAGGGUGCUCAGCGCCCGACCUCCAACCCUUUGUUGUUAAAACUACCUUGUUGCUUUGGCGGGACCGCUCGGUUCCGAGCCGCUGGGGAUUCGUCCCAGGCGAGUGCCCGCCAGAGUUAAACCAAACUCUUGUUAUUAAACCGGUCGUCUGAGUUAAAAUUUUGAAUAAAUCAAAACUUUCAACAACGGAUCUCUUGGUUCUC
rnacentral:misc_RNA from 2 species